UUACUGAACAUCCUACCCCGAGAGUGACAUGGGAAGACUUCCGGGAAGUGAGUUAUUUUCAGGCAUAAAUGGCUGCAGCACCAGGGCUUUGGUUUGGAGCACAACCACACUGCUUGGGCAGAGUGUGGCUUGCUCUGUUUUUUACAUAGCUGACCGUGUAAAGCAGACUUCCUUACUCCCAGGGGGGUCCUAGUCCAGGACUCGGAUUCCUAGGCACUACGGCAAUAGAAUGAGUAUUAAUAAGAAGUGUCUGGUUGUCUGAAGGGGUUGUAGCAAUGAACACUGCAGGGCUAUGCCGAGGGAAGCGCAACACGAAUUUCAAUGUAAAUCUUCACCUUUUCCAAGCUAAUUUCAAACCAGCUUCUGUAAUUUAUAGAGGAAAUGCUCAGCAGCUCAGUGAUUCAGUACCCAGAAAGGCACUUGCUCAUGGAUAUAAAUUUAGCUUGCAAAGAACUGAAAAAUGCGGUGCAUUUUAGCACAGUGAGGAACUGAAGGCUUCUGAUGUUUCCUUUUUUUUUUAAAUGUUUCUUUUAUUGCUGAAAUAUCUUGAGUUUGGACAUUUUUAAUGUUUACUCUCUCCUGUCAGUUACAUUGUGGGACACCGUCUCCAUGGAAGAGAUGCAUAUAUUAUUGCAGUUCCUGGCUUGUUGAGUGAUGUCCAGUUCUUGGGAAUAUUUCAUACUUCUAAGACUGCCUAAAUAGAAAAUGACCUCCCUGAGCAUAAGUUCUGAGGUCAUUUCUGUGCACCUUGUUUUGUGUUCCUUGUAUGUGCUGUAUAACAUGCCGCAGACUCACUGCUGGGUCAGUGUGUGUGUGUGUGUGUGUGUGUGUUUUAUUUAUUUGUAAUACUGAAAAGUUGUUUAAGAUUUCUUUAAAAAAUAUAUAUUUUUUCCUCUCCAGCCUGUCAUGUGGGUGCAUUUUAAAUCUGUUCUCCCAGGGAAGAAAUGCUAGCAUUUGUAUGCUUGUCUUACCAAUGGCACAUGCCCCUACAGUACUUAACACCGAGUUCUCCUGGGCACAGAAUCGACCCUCGUGAGGAAUUCAUUGACAGUCCCAGCAAGCAACGCUGGCUGAGCUCUGCAUUUGACCUCACCAUCUUUGACUGCAGUUAGGUAGGCGAGUGCAAUGGAAAAUACCUUAUUCACGGGGAGGGAAGCCAGGCUGACCUUGGAAUAGGUCAGAAAAAUCAACCCUGGUUGUGUCAGUCUCUGUGCUGACAACUCCGACUACUCCAGCAUACAAACUGCUUUGUAGGAAAUCUGCCUCUUCCUAAUGUUCUCAGUUUCCAGGGACAUUAAAAAUAGAAGAAAGGAGCCAGACUCUUGCACUAGAUAAAUGGGGUUUCUUAGGACUUGACAACUGCAUCUGGACAGCAAAUCACCAUUAACUUUACACAGCAGGAGGGAAAUUCUUUCCCAGUUACCUGGAGCAACCUGGUAGAACUGCCGAAGAGCUUAACUGAUCAUUUUGCAAUCUACCGUGGUUGGCAUUGUGUGUACAGCCUCUGCUCAUUAGGAGGCCUUAAACUCAUGGGGGCAACUUCAUCCCUGCAGGAACGCCAGGGAAGGCAGUGGAGUUACCCCCAGGAUGAACUUGGCCCUGUGGAUGCACAUAUUGUAGUGUAAGAGGUGAGCUCGCCUGUACUCUGAGCAAGGGUUUAAGGAAGACAUGAUCGUUCCAGCAUUACAGCCCGGCUCGGUUGCCAAAGGCUUCUGCAUACUGGAAAAUACUGCAUGGAAUCGAACUCCUAUGACACUUGACUGCCUUGGCGUAACGACCGAGGGCAGGAAAUGAAAAUGCAGUGGUUUGGGUUUUUUCUCACUGCAUGUGGAGAAAAUACCUGGCUAGGCAGAAACAGCUGGGCGCUACAGGCGUCAAAACCUCUGACCGUGUUAAGCUGUCAGUUGUCUUUAAGGGGAAGUGUCCCUGAACCACGAGGGGGGGGAGGGGGAAUUCUCUUGCGUAUUGAACAGGAACACAUCAGACAGAAUGAUACCAUCAGCAAGACGUUGAAUGGGGGUGUGUGCGUGUGAGAG
ensembl:lncRNA